rnacentral:rRNA from 1 species
GACGAACGCUGGCGGCGUGCCUAAUACAUGCAAGUAGAACGCAGUUGCGAACGGGUGAGUAACGCGUAGGUAACUGCCUGGUAGCGGGGGAUAACUAUUGGAAACGAUAGCUAAUACCGCAUACUACCAGAUGGACCUGCGUUGUAUUAGCUAGUUGGUGAGGUAACGGCUCACCAAGGCAACGAUACAUAGCCGACCUGGGAGGGGGCACGGGCAACACGGGACUGAGAAACGGCCCAGAACUCUACGGGAGGCAGCAAGAGGGAAUCUUCGGGAAUGGGGGGAACCCUGGCCGAGCCAAGGCGCGUGAGUGAAGAAGGGUCUCGGAUCGGAAAGCUCUGUUGUUAAGGAAGCGGUACUUAACCAGAAAGGGACGGCUAACUACGUGCCAGCAGCCGCGGUAAUAC